AGAGUUUGAUCAUGGCUCAGGAUGAACGCUAGCGGGAGGCCUAACACAUGCAAGCCGAGCGGUAGAGAUUCUUCGGAAUCUUGAGAGCGGCGUACGGGUGCGGAACACGUGUGCAACCUACCUUUAUCUGGAGGAUAGCCUUUCGAAAGGAAGAUUAAUACUCCAUAAUAUAUUGAUUGGCAUCAAUUGAUAUUGAAAGCUCCGGCGGAUAGAGAUGGGCACGCGCAAGAUUAGUUAGUUGGUGAGGUAACGGCUCACCAAGACGAUGAUCUUUAGGGACCUGAGAGGGUGAUCCCCCACACUGGUACUGAGACACGGACCAGACUCCUACGGGAGGCAGCAGUGAGGAAUAUUGGUCAAUGGGUGCAAGCCUGAACCAGCCAUCCCGCGUGAAGGACGACUGCCCUAUGGGUUGUAAACUUCUUUUGUAUAGGGAUAAACCUACCCUCGUGAGGGUAGCUGAAGGUACUAUACGAAUAAGCACCGGCUAACUCCGUG
rnacentral:rRNA from 1 species